rnacentral:rRNA from 1 species
UACGUAGGGGGCAAGCGUUGUUCGGAUUUACUGGGCGUAAAGGGCGCGUAGGCGGCUUAACAAGUCACUUGUGAAAUCUCCGGGCUUAACUCGGAACGGCCAAGUGAAACUGUCAAGCUAGAGUGCAGAAGGGGCAAUCGGAAUUCUUGGUGUAGCGGUGAAAUGCGUAGAUAUCAAGAGGAACACCUGAGGUGAAGACGGGUUGCUGGGCUGACACUGGACGCUGAGGCGCGAAAGCCAGGGGAGCAAACGGG